UAAUGUCUGGGAAACUGCCUGAUGGAGGGGGAUAACUACUGGAAACGGUAGCUAAUACCGCAUAAUGUCGCAAGACCAAAGUGGGGGACCUUCGGGGCCUCAUGCCAUCAGAUGUGCCCAGAUGGGAUUAGCUAGUAGGUGGGGUAACGGCUCACCUAGGCGACGAUCCCUAGCUGGUCUGAGAGGAUGACCAGCCACACUGGAAUUGAGACACGGUCCAG
rnacentral:rRNA from 1 species